rnacentral:rRNA from 2 species
UCUGGUGUCAGCCGCCGCGGUAAAACCAGCACCUCAAGUGGUCAGGAUGAUUAUUGGGCCUAAAGCAUCCGUAGCCGGCGCUGUAAGUUUUCGGUUAAAUCUGUACGCUCAACGUACAGGCUGCCGGGAAUACUGCAGCGCUAGGGAGUGGGAGAGGUAGACGGUACUCGGUAGGAAGGGGUAAAAUCCUUUGAUCUAUUGAUGACCACCUGUGGCGAAGGCGGUCUACCAGAACACGUCCGACGGUGAGGGAUGAAAGCUGGGGGAGCAAACCGGAUUAGAUACCCGGGUAGUCCCAACUGUAAACUAUGCAAACUCAGUGAUGCAUUGGCUUGUGGCCAAUGCACUGCUGCAUGGAAGCCGUUAAGUUUGCCGCCUGGGAAGUACGUACGCAAGUAUGAAACUUAAAG